AUGGCUGGCAGUAAGGCUGGAAAGGACUCUGGAAACGCCAAGACAAAGGUGGUUUCCUGCUCGAAGCAAGCCAGCUUGCAGAAAUCUAGGACAACCAGCCAAGGACAUGUGAGUGCGCCCGCUGUUGUGUACAGCUUGGUCAUUUUAGAGAACUUCACGGCAGAGUUACUUGAGUUGGCAGGAAAUGCAUCAAACAACUUAAACAUAAAGCAUAUUACCCCUUGUCACUUGCAACUUGCUAUACGUGUAGAUGAAUAAUUGGAUUAUCUGAUCAAGGCUACAAUUGCUGGUGGUGGUAUCAUCCCACACAUCCACAAAUCGCCAAUUGAGAAGAAAGGACAACAGAAGACUGUC
rnacentral:lncRNA from 1 species